rnacentral:rRNA from 1 species
UGAGUAAUACAUCGGAACGUGUCUUCUAGUGGGGGAUAACUGCCCGAAAGGGCAGCUAAUACCGCAUGAGACCUGAGGGUGAAAGCGGGGGAUCGCAAGACCUCGCGCUGGAAGAGCGGCCGAUGUCCGAUUAGCUAGUUGGUGAGGUAAAGGCUCACCAAGGCGACGAUCGGUAGCUGGUCUGAGAGGACGACCAGCCACACUGGACUGAGACACGGCCCAG